rnacentral:lncRNA from 1 species
GGAGACUAUUUUAUCUGUUAUUCUACGAUUUUAAUUUCUGAAGUACAGAAAAGACUUGUUUAGUUUAUGAUGAAAUCAUAUUUUGUAAAUCUUUUUAUAGCAUUUAUAAAGGACUCUACAACAUGUAAACAUGUCAGAAAACAUAUGUCGAUAUUACUUUGUUUUACGUUCGUAGGAGUAGGGAACCAGCCAUGAUUGUGUACGUACGUCUCAUGGAGCGUACUCUCCCUGAAUAUUUGACCUGUAGACUUAGAGAAGUUAUUACGCCAAAAAAUUUCGUACGAGUGGAGUGAGGGGAAGAGUAGAAUGAAAUGAGGGGAUGAGUGGUAUGAGAGUAGAAGUAGAAAUGGGGAACAGAGAAAACACCAAAGUAGAAAGUAAAGAUGCUACAGUAACAACAAGCACACCGUGUAGACCCCGUUAUAUAAGAGCAGCCCAAACAACCAAAGUCAACGACACCAAGACUGGCACCACGUGCUCCCCAAGAGGCCACAUGAAGGGUGGUCAUUGUAUGUUCCAUCUAGACCCAAUAAAUCCACUCCGUGACGGAA